GACGAACGCUGGCGGCGUGCUUAACACAUGCAAGUCGAGCGAUGAAGCACCUUCGGGUGCGGAUUAGCGGCGAACGGGUGAGGAACACGUGAGGAAUCUGCCUUCCACUCUGGGAUAACUCCGGGAAACCGGGGCUAAUACCGGAUACUUUCAACUGGCGGCAUCGCCGGUUGAAGAAAGUUUUUCGGUGGAAGAUGACCUCGCGGCCUAUCAGCUUGUUGGUGAGGUAAAGGCUCACCAAGGCGACGACGGGUAGCCGGCCUGAGAGGGCGACCGGCCACACUGGGACUGAGACACGGCCCAGACUCCUACGGGAGGCAGCAGUGGGGAAUAUUGGGCAAUGGAGGAAACUCUGACCCAGCGACGCCGCGUGAGGGAUGAAGGCCUUCGGGUUGUAAACCUCUUUCAGCAGGGAAUAAGCGAAAGUGAAGGUACCUGCAGAAGAAGCACCGGCUAACUAUGUGCCAGCAGCCGCAGUAAUAC
rnacentral:rRNA from 1 species